AUUGAACGCUGGCGGCAUGCCUUACACAUGCAAGUCGAACGGCAGCGGACCUUCGGGUGCCGGCGAGUGGCGAACGGGUGAGUAAUAUAUUGGAACGUACCUUUCAGUGGGGGAUAACGUAGCGAAAGUUACGCUAAUACCGCAUAUUCUGUGAGCAGGAAAGCAGGGGAUCGCAAGACCUUGCGCUGAUUGAGCGGCCGAUAUCAGAUUAGCUAGUUGGUGAGGUAAAGGCUCACCAAGGCGACGAUCUGUAGCGGGUCUGAGAGGAUGAUCCGCCACACUGGAACUGAGACACGGUCCAGACUCCUACGGGAGGCAGCAGUGGGGAAUUUUGGACAAUGGGCGCAAGCCUGAUCCAGCCAUGCCGCGUGAGUGAAGAAGG
rnacentral:rRNA from 1 species